CCUACGGGAGGCAGCAGUGAGGAAUAUUGGGCAAUGCCCGAAAGGGUGACCCAGCAACGCCGCGUGGAGGAUGAAGUCCUUCUGGACGUAAACUCCUUUUAGAGGGGACGAAAAGCCCGAUUUGUCGGGAAUUGACGGUACCCUCAGAAAAAGCACCGGCUAACUACGUGCCAGCAGCCGCGGUAAUACGUAGGGUGCAAGCGUUGUCCGGAUUCACUGGGUGUAAAGGGUGAGCAGGCGGGCUCUUAAGUCAAAGGAGAAAUCGCUGGGCUUAACCGAGAAAUGGCCUUUGAGACUGAGAGCCUUGAGGACGGGAGAGGGAGAUGAAAUUCCAGGUGUAGCGGUGAAAUGCGUAGAGAUCUGGAGGAACACCGAAGGCGAAGGCGGUCCCCUGGCCCGUAACUGACGCUCAGGCACGAAAGCGUGGGGAGCAAACAGGAUUAGAUCCCCUGGUAGU
rnacentral:rRNA from 1 species